rnacentral:rRNA from 1 species
UACGAAGGGGGCUAGCGUUGUUCGGAAUUACUGGGCGUAAAGCGUGCGCAGGCGGCUUCUCAAGUCAGGGGUGAAAGCCCAGAGCUCAACUCUGGAAUUGCCUUUGAGACUGAGUGGCUUGAGUACGAGAGAGGUGAGUGGAAUUCCCAGUGUAGAGGUGAAAUUCGUAGAUAUUGGGAAGAACACCGGUGGCGAAGGCGGCUCACUGGCUCGUAACUGACGCUGAGACACGAAAGCGUGGGUAGCAAACAGG